rnacentral:rRNA from 1 species
CACGUGGAUAAUCUACCCGACAGUCAGGGAUAACAUUUCGAAAGGAAUGCUAAUACCUGAUAAGCCUACGCCCUCUUCGGAGGAAGUAGGAAAAGGUGGGGACCUUCGGGCCUGCCGUUGUUGGAUGAGUCCGCGGCCCAUUAGCUAGUUGGCAGGGUAAUGGCCUACCAAGGCUACGAUGGGUAGCUGGUCUGAGAGGAUGAUCAGCCACACUGGAACUGAGACACGGUCCAG